GAUAGAUGAGUCUCGAGUCUGUAGUGUGGAGAUACUGGGGUGAGAGUGUAAGUAGUUAUUAGAGAACAACUUACACUGAGCGUGACCAAUAUGAGAAACUAUUGGGAUGUCUACACACUCGUCAGUGAUUUGUUUAAUGCUGCAGUGACGUGAAUGGUUCUUAAAUCUGCGGUCAUUAGCUACUCGCAGUAAAACUACUGAGUUUGAUUGUACCUAA
rnacentral:lncRNA from 1 species